rnacentral:rRNA from 1 species
AUUGAACGCUGGCGGCAGGCCUAACACAUGCAAGUCGAGCGACCGGCGGACGGGUGAGUAAUGCCUGGGAAUUGCCCAGUCGAGGGGGAUAACAGUUGGAAACGACUGCUAAUAUCGCAUACGAAUGGACUGCCCAGGUGGGUUUAGCUUGUUGGUGGGGUAACGGCUCACCAAGGCGACGAUCCCUAGCUGGUCUGAGAGGAUGAUCAGCCACACUGGAACUGAGACACGGUCCAGACUCCUACGGGAGGCAGCAGUGGGGAAUAUUGCACAAUGGGGGAAAGCCUGAUGCAGCCAUGCCGCGUGUGUGAAGAAGGCCUUCGGGUUGUAAAGCCCUUUCAGCGAGGAGGCGUUACUCGCAGAAGAAGCACCGGCUAACUCCGUGCCAGCAGCCGCGGUAAUAC